rnacentral:rRNA from 1 species
UGCAUAUCCAAUAAGCGGAGGAAAAGAAACCAACUGGGAUUACCUUAGUAACGGCGAGUGAAGCGGUAAAAGCUCAAAUUUGAAAUCUGGUACUUUCAGUGCCCGAGUUGUAAUUUGUAGAAUUUGUCUUUGAUUAGGUCCUUGUCUAUGUUCCUUGGAACAGGACGUCAUAGAGGGUGAGAAUCCCGUUUGGCGAGGAUACCUUUUCUCUGUAAGACUUUUUCGAAGAGUCGAGUUGUUUGGGAAUGCAGCUCAAAGUGGGUGGUAAAUUCCAUCUAAAGCUAAAUAUUGGCGAGAGACCGAUAGCGAACAAGUACAGUGAUGGAAAGAUGAAAAGAACUUUGAAAAGAGAGUGAAAAAGUACGUGAAAUUGUUGAAAGGGAAGGGCAUUUGAUCAGACAUGGUGUUUUUUGCAUGCACUCGCCUCUCGUGGGCUUGGGCCUCUCAAAAAUUUCACUGGGCCAACAUCAAUUCUGGCAGCAGGAUAAAUCAUUAAGAAUGUAGCUACUUCGGUAGUGUUAUAGCUUUUUGGAAUACUGUUAGCCGGGAUUGAGGACUGCGCUUCGGCAAGGAUGUUGGCAUAAUGGUUAAAUGCCGCCCGUCUUGAACACGGAACCA